rnacentral:rRNA from 1 species
GUAGGGUGCGAGCGUUAAUCGGAAUUACUGGGCGUAAAGCGUGCGUAGGCGGUUCGUUAAGUUCGUCGUGAAAGCCCCGGGCUCAACCUGGGAAUGGCGAUGGAAACUGGCGGGCUGGAGUAUGGCAGAGGGGGGUGGAAUUCCGCGUGUAGCAGUGAAAUGCGUAGAGAUGCGGAGGAACACCGAUGGCGAAGGCAGCCCCCUGGGCCAAUACUGACGCUCAGGCACGAAAGCGUGGGGAGCAAACAGGAUUAGAUACCCUGGUAGUCCACGCCCUAAACGAUGCUCACUAGGUGUUGGGGAAGCGAUUCCUUGGUACCGUAGCUAACGCGUGAAGUGAGCCGCCUGGGGAGUACGGCCGCAAGGUUA